UAGGGAAUCUUCCACAAUGGGCGCGAGCCUGAUGGAGCAACACCGCGUGAGUGAAGAAGGGUUUCGGCUCGUAAAGCUCUGUUGUUAAAGAAGAACACGUAUGAGAGUAACUGUUCAUACGUUGACGGUAUUUAACCAGAAAGUCACGGCUAACUACGUGCCUAG
rnacentral:rRNA from 1 species